ensembl:lncRNA
AUUGAAAUUAUCUGGUUUACUUAAAAUGCAGUAAUAUGUACGUUUUUCUCCUGGGCCCCCAAACCUCAAAGACCUCAUUCUGGAAAGAACCUAGUUAACAAUAUGUGGUCUAAGUGGCCAUAACCACAAAGUGCCUAUUUGGCAGAAAACUCAUAAGCAGGUAGUCCUAUCUUGAGAAUCUAAUUCCACAUGCCUAACAGCAUACCCAAGAUCACUAUUACCUCCUACCCCUUCCAAAAUAACAACGUUCUCACCUCCCGAUCUGGAGUCUGGGUCCAAAUGAGAAAGCAUUGGCAAGCGUUUCCACGCAGGGAUAAGCACCCCCACGUCUUUCCAGCUUAGCUCUCCAAGCAGCUCUGGCAGUUAUCUCACUAGAAACCUUGGACUCAGACUCCGACCACGCCCACUCCUCCCGGUCCACCCAUGAUCCCAAAUCCCAUUGGUCACCCGCAUCAGGGUAGCCAUGCAACUCCCGCCCCCGCUCCGUAAUUGGUGAGGGUAAUUGCCGCUCCCAGUACGGCGGAGCUGGGCUCUCUCUCGGUCCACCGGCACCACCUGUUGCCCUUAAGUUAGAAAAGGCGGCGUUCUCGGAGGGAGCCAAGCAGCCGCUGCAGGUGAAGGGGAGCCUCCGGCGGUCAGGUAGCCGCCAGGCUGCCGGCUCCGUUCGGCCCGGCGCACCUGCAGCGCAGCCAGGGCGCCAAGCUGAGGCUCUCACAUCCGGGGCCCGCAGUCACCGCCAACGCGUUAACCCUUUGUCCGCAGGCCCGAGGGUGCCGGCUGUGACCGCGCGGGCCCCUAAGGUGCUAGAGAUUAGACCUGGCGCGCCCGCUAGGAUCUUGCACUGUCGAAAAGUCAGCUCCAAAAUUGCUGCAAUGAUAAGUUUGCUGAACUGCAUCUCUGCCCAAUGCCACUUCCUCGCAAAGACAACCCGCAGUGUAGUGCCCUGCUGCUUCCUUUGGCCUCUGUUGGUAAGAAAAUGGCUAAGAAAAUCGCUGCUGCUCUUCCGCCUCCAUGUCCUCCUUCAUCAGAACGGGGAGGCAAACGCGUGGAACGGAAAGGGGCUGUGGGGCAGCGGCCAGGUUGGAUUUUCCCUCCGCAGCCCUGAAGGGAUGUUUCUAAUGACCCAAGGAAAAUUAGCGGUGGUCCUGGAACUGUUCAUCUAAGUCUACUAGUCAUCAAAUGCAAAAUGCUCUUCAUUGGAUGAUUCUGACUAAAUGUAGUUUUGUCUUUGAUCAAUAAGUUCACAAAUAUUUAUUGAACACCUAAUAGGCUGUAGACACAAUUCUGUGUGCUUGGGGAUAAAAUGGUGAGCAAAACACGCUGUCCCUGCCCCUGUGGAAUAUUGGAGUCUCUAUGGAUGAAUACAUUUAUAAAAUGUUUUCAGCGGUAAUUUCAGGGUUCUUAUGACAACCUGCAAAAGAAGUAAUGACUUAACGUUGUAGGAAAGCUUUAGUCGACAAAACAUCUUUUUAGUGAAGACUGUAAGAUUGUAACUUGGAAGAACCUAUAUGGUACACUUUUUUAAAAUUGUACUUUUUUUCUUUUUAAAUAUGGAUUGGAGUUUCCUCAAGAAAUAUCAUAGUUUUUCUCAAGACCACUAUUGCCAGUGGUAUUUAUUUCUUUUAUGACUAGCACAGGAACGUGCAUACUUGUCAUCCUAGAUUCUUUUUUUUUUUUUUUUUUUUUUUUUGAGACGGAGUCUCCCUCUGUCGCCCAGGCUGGAGUGCCCUGGCCGGAUCUCAGCUCACUGCAAGCUCCGCCUCCCGGGUUUACGCCAUUCUCCUGCCUCAGCCUCCCCAGUAGCUGGGACUACAGGCGCCCGCCACCUCGCCCGGCUAGUUUUUUUGUAUUUUUUUAGUAGAGACGGGAUUUCACUGUGUUAGCCAGGAUGGUCUCGAUCUCCUGACCUCGUGAUCCGCCCGUCUCGGCCUCCCAAAGUGCUGGGAUUACAGGCUUGAGCCACCGCGCCUGGC